UAGGGAAUCUUCGGCAAUGGACGAAAGUCUGACCGAGCAACGCCGCGUGAGUGAAGAAGGUUUUCGGAUCGUAAAACUCUGUUGUUAGAGAAGAACAAGGACGUUAGUAACUGAACGUCCCCUGACGGUAUCUAACCAGAAAGCCACGGUUAACUACGUGCCAGCAGUCGCGGUAAUACGUAGGUGGCAAGCGUUGUCCGGAUUUAUUGGGCGUAAAGCGAGCGCAGGCGGUUUCUUAAGUCUGAUGUGAAAGCCCCCGGCUCAACCGGGGAGGGUCAUUGGAAACUGGGAGACUUGAGUGCAGAAGAGGAGAGUGGAAUUCCAUGUGUAGCGGUGAAAUGCGUAGAUAUAUGGAGGAACACCAGUGGCGAAGGCGGCUCUCUGGUCUGUAACUGACGCUGAGGCUCGAAAGCGUGGGGAGCAAACAGG
rnacentral:rRNA from 1 species